rnacentral:tRNA from 1 species
AUUAAUUUAGCAGAUAAAUGCAUUUAAUUUAGGAUUAAAAGAUAACUUUUUGUUAAUUAAUA